AGUGUGAGCAAAGCAAGAAUUAAGGUAAGACUCAUCGACCCAGUACUGCAAAUCCCCUAUCCAAAGUGUUCUAACUUCCUCUACCGUAGUUGGUUGAUGGUGAGUUGGUUGACCUGCCAGAGUCGCCAUCGUAUCUAUUGACGCAUUAUCUAAUCGCUUCUGGUAAUUGAGUUGCUGAUGUUUGAACUUUGUAAGAUUGUUUCUACACUAUGUAUGAUGCUCCG
rnacentral:misc_RNA from 1 species